rnacentral:pre_miRNA from 1 species
AGGAGCAACAGCCCUAGUGGCGGGGCCAGCUCUGGAAACCUGGAUUCAGCUCCGGCAAGAACUCCGGAGCUCUCCGUCUGCAGGGCCUGGAGGCUCCCGGGCGGG